AGUGAACGCUGGCGGUAGGCCUAACACAUGCAAGUCGAACGGCAGCACAGGAGAGCUUGCUCUCUGGGUGGCGAGUGGCGGACGGGUGAGGAAUACAUCGGAAUCUACUCUGUCGUGGGGGAUAACGUAGGGAAACUUACGCUAAUACCGCAUACGACCUACGUGUGAAAGCAGGGGACCUUCGGGCCUUGCGCGAUUGAAUGAGCCGGUGUCGGAUUAGCUAGUUGGCGGGGUAAAGGCCCACCAAGGCGCCGAGCCGUAGCUGGUCUGAGAGGAUGAUCAGCCACACUGGAACUGGGACACGGUCCAGACUCCUACGGGAGGCAGCAGUGGGGAAUAUUGGACAAUGGGCGCAAGCCUGAUCCAGCCAUACCGCGUGGGUGAAGAAGGCCUUCGGGUUGUAAAGCCCUUUUGUUGGGAAAGAAAUCCAGCUGGCUAAUACCCGGUUGGGAUGACGGUACCCAAAGAAUAAGCACCGGCUAACUUCGUGCCAGCAGCCGCCGUAA
rnacentral:rRNA from 1 species